UGAGGAUUCUUCUUCUGGGGAAAAAUGCAUCAGAAAACAGCCGUGUGGGAAACUUGAUCUUGGGUCGAUCAGCGUUUGACAGUGAAGCUCCUCCAGAUGUUGUGGAGAGAGUCGGAGGAAGACUGAAGCACAGACACGUGACGCUCAUCAACAGUCCUCAGCUGCUCCACACAAACAUCUCAGAUGAUCAGAUCACACAGACGGUCAGAGAGUGCGUGAGUCUGUCUGAUCCAGGACCUCAUGUGGUGCUUCUGCUCCUCCAACAUCAGCAGUGUUCAGCAGAAGAUCAAGAGCGUGUGGAGAAGCUGCAGGACUCUUUCUCUGAGCACCUUCUUCAACACACCCUGGUGCUCAGCACACAAGAGCCCACUGAACCCAAUCAGAUCCUGCAGAAGAUCAUCCAGAAGUGCUCCAACAGACACUUCAGUCUUCAGACAAGCAGCUCUGCUGAUCAUCUUCUGCAGGCCUUUGAGGACAUCGAGCGGAGCAAUGAGGGACGACACCUGAUUUGUGCUCAGUGUGAAGCUUCACAGUUCUGAGAGGCUGAAUGUGUUGGUGUGUGGGAGCGACGGCUCACUGAAAUCCUCCAUCUCAGAGCUGAUCCUGCAACACACACACAGAAGAUCAGACGUGGAUCUUCAUGGUGGUCUGAUCAAUGUGCUGGAGCUUCCAGCUCUGUUCAACACUGGGCUCUCAGAGGAGGAAGUGAUGCGUCAGACUCUCCGCUGUGUGUCUCGCUGUCAUCCUGGAGUUCAUGCUUUCCUCCUCAUUAUUCCUGACGCUCCACUUAAUAAUGAAGACAGAGGUGAAAUGCAGGAGAUCCAGAAGAUCUUCAGCUCCAGAAUCAACAAACACAUCAUGAUCCUCAUCAUGCAGAACUCAGAGCAUCAGACAGCAGAACUCAAUGAAGAAACACAGGCUGUCAUUCAGAGUUUUGGAGGAAGACAUCAUCACUUCAGUCCUGAAACACAAGUGUCCACAUUGAUGGAGAACAUUGAGCAGAUGCUGGAGGAAAACAGAGGAGGCGUUUACUCCACAGAGACAUUCCUGGAGGCACAGAUGAAAAAACUGGUGAAAUAUGAAGAGAUGAAGAAGAAAAUAGAUUCACUGGAGACACAUGUGCUAACACAAGGUUCAAGAGAAAACAGAGAUGAUGAAAUGAGGAUUGUUCUGCUGGGAAAAACUGGCAUUGGAAAAAGUGCUACGGGAAACACCAUCUUAGGAAGAACGGCUUUUAAGUCAGAAGCAUCUUUUGAGUCAGUGACUAAAGAGAGUCAAAGAGAAACAAGUGAAAUCAAUGGCAGGAGCAUCACUGUGAUUGACACUCCAGGAUUGUUUGAUACUGAACUCACUAAUGAGGAGAUCCAGAGAGAAAUCAGACACUGCAUCUCCAUGAUUCUGCCUGGACCACAUGUGUUUCUCCUGCU
ensembl:processed_transcript